rnacentral:rRNA from 1 species
UACGUAGGGGGCUAGCGUUAUCCAGAAUUACUGGGCGUAAAGCGCGUGUAGGCGGGUCGGCACGUCGGUCGCUGAAAUCCCCCGGCUCAACCGGGGAACGGGCCCCGAUACGACCGACCUGGAGGGGGGUAGGGGGAGCCGGAACUUCCGGUGGAGCGGUGAAAUGCGUUGAGAUCGGAAGGAACGCCCGUGGCGAAAGCGGGCUCCUGGACCCCACCUGACGCUGAGACGCGAAAGCCAGGGAGCGAACGGG